AAGCUCGUAGUGAAUUUCGGGAUCACUACGUCGGUCGUGCCUUCGGUACGCACUGGGGUCGUUGAUUCCUCCCUUCUGAUGAACCAUGAUGUCAUUAAUUUGGUGUCGUGGGGAGUCAGGACUGUUACUUUGAAAAAAUUAGAGUGUUUAAAGCAAGCAUUAGCUUGAAUACAUUAGCAUGGAAUAAUGAAAUAGGACGUUUGAUCCUAUUUCGUUGGUUUCUAGGAUCGACGUAAUGAUUAAUAAUAGUUGGG
rnacentral:rRNA from 1 species